UACAGAGGUCCCAAGCGUUGUUCGGAUUCACUGGGCGUAAAGGGUGCGUAGGCGGUCGGGUAAGUCUGAUGUGAAAUCUCACAGCUUAACUGUGAAACUGCAUUGGAUACUAUUCGGCUAGAGAGUUGGAGGGGGGACUGGAAUUCUUGGUGUAGCAGUGAAAUGCGUAGAUAUCAAGAGGAACACCAGUGGCGAAGGCAGCUCGCUGGGACGUUACUGACGCUGAGACGCGAAAGCGUGGGGAGCAAACAGG
rnacentral:rRNA from 1 species